AACGAACGCUGGCGGCAGGCUUAACACAUGCAAGUCGAACGCCCCGCAAGGGGAGUGGCAGACGGGUGAGUAACGCGUGGGAAUCUACCCAUUCCUACGGAACAACUCCGGGAAACUGGAGCUAAUACCGUAUACGCCCUUAGGGGGAAAGAUUUAUCGGGGAUGGAUGAGCCCGCGUUGGAUUAGCUAGUUGGUGGGGUAAAGGCCUACCAAGGCGACGAUCCAUAGCUGGUCUGAGAGGAUGAUCAGCCACAUUGGGACUGAGACACGGCCCAAACUCCUACGGGAGGAAGCAGUGGGGAAGAUUGGACAAUGGGCGCAAGCCUGAUCCAGCCAUGCCGCGUGAGUGAUGAAGGCCUUAGGGUUGUAAAGCUCUUUCACCGAUGAAGAUAAUGACGGUAGUCGGAGAAGAAGCCCCGGCUAACUUCGUGCCAGCCGCCGCGGUAAAAC
rnacentral:rRNA from 1 species